GGAGUUCCUGUUGUGGCUCAGCAGUAACAAACCCGACCAAUCCUUAACCCACUGAGCAAGGCUAGGAAUCGAACCUGCAACCUCAUGGUUCCUAACUGGGUUUGUUUUCACUGCACCAUGACCAGAACUCCCAUAGCUCCUUAUGAUUUUAAGCUUUGAUCUUUAGUCUAGACAUACUGUUGAAACAACGGAUUUCUCUUAUGUUACUUGAGUAACUCAUCUCUCUGUGUCUAAUGGGCAGUGCUUACUAAGUCAGGUUGUAUCUCUGUCAAGGCCUUAAUUUCCUGGUUUAGAAGUGCUUUCUGUUUGCCUGCAGGAAAUCUAGUCCUUUACCAGUUUAUCCACCUGAAGAACUGGAAAUUCCCAGGGUCUGCAUUCAUUCAUUCAGUAAAUACUUAGAGAACCAGCACAGCUAGCAUGAGAUUAAACAGCUGGGUGACCAGUUGUGAGCAAGAAUAUGACAUCCUUUAUGAAGGUCACCCUCUAAAGAGAGAAACUAAUAUUACUAAUCACACAAACAUAAAGCUGCACUCCUGAUAAUGUUCAAAAGAAAAGUGGAGGUGUUACUCUGAAAGCUGAUAAUAGAAAGAUUUGAUCUGAUCAAGAAUAUUCAGAGAAGGUUUCCUUGUGGAAGCUUCAGUUGAGUUGAGAUCAGAAAGAUCAGUCAAUAUUACCUUGGUGAGAAAAGAAGUAUAGAGACAGAAGAUAGCUUGUGCCAAGGUCCUCUGGUGGGAGAGGACUGUGGACACAAGACAGAGAGUCCAAAAAGGCCAGAACUUGCACAAACACAGUGCAGAGGUCAGAAAAAGCCUCAUGAGAAGUGAAGCUGCAGAGGUGUCACAAGAGGUAGGAAAGAUACUGAAGUGUGUGAUCAAAUUUGUGCUUGAAAUGUAUCAGCUCAACUAUUGUUGUGUGGAAUAGACUGAUAGGCAAGUAGGCAAGAUUAUAAAGUAGGAGGCUUUCACAGCAGUCCUGACUAGAGAUGAAGGAAGGCAGAUUGCAAAAAGAGAGAAGUAGGCUGGUUUGAUACUCAGGAGGUAAAAUCUGUAGGUCAAGAUGAUAAGGUGUGGGAGGGGGAAGUUAAGGAUAACUUCCUGUUUCCAGCUGGGGCAAUUUCAAAGUUCACGAAGGCAUCUUGGCUGACUUUCAUCUUCCACCUUGGCUGUCCAUCUGACACCACCAGCCUUGUGUUCACAUCUGCAACAAAGGUAUAGGAUGUUUUCACCAAGGAUGGGCAAAGACCCUUCUCUUAAUUCCCUGGGAGGAUAACUGAGAUAUUUUCCUUUUUUUAGAAGACUGUACCAAGAAAACAGAAAAGAACUAUGAUACAGUAACUUCAAACUACCCAGAAGUAACUACUUUUGGAGCCCAUAAGCCCACACUUAUCCUCAUGGAGUCUGCAACAAGGUGUAUCACUGCUUACCUCAAAAAUAACACCAGGCUGACUUACCUUCACCAGUGGGAGUAACUUCACACAUGCAGAUGCUUCUUGAAAUUAAGGCCCUAUCAUCCAAAAUUCUGCAAUAUGACCAUGUCUUUCUUCUCCCAUUAUUAAGUUCUUGGCCCUCAUUUCCUUUCUCAAAUUACCUUUUUCCCAUAAUUGAGUAUGCAGAUGACCCUUCUAUCAGGAGAAAACUGACCUUCCAGCAAAAGGGGUGUCACCUUGUCUUAUGAUCUCAAUAGGCCAAAGAAAUGAGAAUACAAUAUCAGGACAUUCUGGGAUGUUUGAACUUAAAUUACACCUUGUAGUUAAGCCUUGGAGUGGUGUGUGUGUGUCAGGAGCAGACUUCAUAAGCUUCCUUUGGUUGCAGUGUAGCAGAUAACCUAGAGAAGCAAGACUAGUUAUAUGGAAUAAGAAAGAGACUUCUGCAGUAAUCCUCAGAAGAGAGGAAGAGAAUUUGAACCAAGGUGGUGACAGUGGUGGCAAAGAGAUGCAGAAUAAAAUCAAAGUCAUUAGGGCUUAAUGAUUAAAGUAAUACAGUUAAGAGUCAGAGCUUUUGAGGAAACAAAUCUAAUUUCCAGAUUUGAUGUACAAUAUACUAGAAAGGUAACCCAAGAAAAUUGCUUAAAUUUUCUAAACCUCAAUCGCCUUAUCUACAAAGUGAGGGGGCAAUGCCCACUUCACUAGAUUUUUGUGAGGAUCAAAUGGGAUAAUGUUUCAGAGCACUUUGUCCUGCGCUUGUCGAAGAGUUAAGUGUUGAGUGAGGAAUUUGAUGAGCUCAAUUUGGUGAGUUUGGGGUUAGAGAUGCCUUGUGUCUUGGACCAUCUAAAUGGACAGCUGUACAAUGAUAAGUACAACAAAUGAAAAAGAUAUGGAAGAGGCAUUCCCGUGGCUCAGCAGUAACAAACCCAGCUGGUAUCCAUGAGGAUUCAGGUUAGAUCCCUGGCCUUGCUCAGUGGGUUAAGGAUCUGGUGCUGCCAUGAGCUGUGGUAUAGGUCAUGGACAUAGUUCGGAUCCUGACAUUGCUGUGGUGUAGGCCGGCAGCUAUAGCUCCCAUUCAACCACUAGCCUGAGAAUUCCAUAUGCCAUGGGUGCAGCCCUAAAAAGC
rnacentral:lncRNA from 1 species